rnacentral:rRNA from 1 species
UACGUAGGGGGCAAGCGUUGUCCGGAUUUAUUGGGCGUAAAGAGCGUGUAGGCGGCUUUACAGGUCCGUUGUGAAAACUCGAGGCUCAACCUCGAGACGCCGGUGGAAACCGUAAAGCUAGAGUCCGGAAGAGGAGAGUGGAAUUCCUGGUGUAGCGGUGAAAUGCGCAGAUAUCAGGAGGAACACCCGUGGCGAAAGCGGCUCUCUGGGACGGUACUGACGCUGAGACGCGAAAGCGUGGGGAGCGA